GAUGAACGCUGGCGGCGUGCCUAAUACAUGCAAGUCGAACGCUGGAGAUCUAGCUUGCUAGAUCGAAGGAGUGGCGAACGGGUGAGUAAUACAUAAGCAACCUACCCACGAAGACUGGGAUAAUCUCUGGAAACGGGGACUAAUACCGGAUAGGUAAUCGGAAGGCAUCUUCUGGUUAUUAAAGGUUAAAAACACUGGUGGAUGGGCUCAUGGCGCAUUAGUUAGUUGGUGAGGUAACGGCCCACCAAGACGAUGAUGCGUAGCCGGCCUGAGAGGGUGAACGGCCACAUUGGGACUGAGACACGGCCCAGACUCCUACGGGAGGCAGCAGUAGGGAAUUUUCGGCAAUGGGGGCAACCCUGACCGAGCAACGCCGCGUGAGUGAAGACGGCCUUCGGGUUGUAAAGCUCUGUUGUAAGGGAAGAACGGUAGAUAGAGAAUAUCUAAGUGACGGUACCUUACCAGAAAGCCACGGCUAACUACGUG
rnacentral:rRNA from 1 species